UUUAUAAUAUUGUCUUAGUUUAAUAACUAAAAUGGUUUGGCAGUGAGUGAUUCUUUUUAGGGGAAGGUGUGGUUUAAAGGAUGUUCCGCCUAUUAAUUUACUUUUGUUAUGUUGGUGUAUAUCUGGUUUAAUAUUAUUGUUUAAUAAUUUAAUUUGUGAAGGUGAUUAGUUAAGCCAAGUCUAUGUGCUGCUUAUAAAAGUAUUCAUGCGUUACAUUAAUAAAAAUAUAAUUGUAAAAUUAUAUAAUUUAGGACUUAAUAGUAAUAUUUAAUUAGUUUGUAAAUGUGAAGAAAGUUUAGCUCAGGUACACACCGCCC
rnacentral:rRNA from 1 species